UCCCUGGUGGUCCAGUGGUUAAGGCUUCACCUUCCAAUCCAGGGGAUGCAGGUUCAAUCCCUGCUCAGGGAG
rnacentral:tRNA from 1 species